rnacentral:rRNA from 1 species
UACGUAGGGUGCGAGCGUUAAUCGGAAUUACUGGGCGUAAAGCGUGCGCAGGCGGUUCGUGAUGUCUGAUGUGAAAGCCCCGGGCUCAACCUGGGAACUGCAUUGGAAACUAGCGGGCUGGAGUGUGGCAGAGGGGGGUGGAAUUCCGCGUGUAGCAGUGAAAUGCGUAGAGAUGCGGAGGAACACCGAUGGCGAAGGCAGCCCCCUGGGCCAAGAUUGACGCUCAUGCACGAAAGCGUGGGGAGCAAACAGG